UGUGGCUGCAGUUGGGCCUCCUUGAAGGGGAAAAAUCUUCAACAGGAACCAGGCCACUGAGAGAUGGAAGAAAGGACAGCUCAUACCCAAACCUCACGAGGAGGCUACAGGAAUCACUGGACAGUUCCUUUAUUGGGAAAGCCCCCAGUGACUUUCCAAUGAAAUGGAUAGAGAAGGGAAAAGAGACCCUUCGGAAUCAGAUGAGUCCAUGAACUGGCAGCAGUCAGGGCAGUGAUGACAUCACAGAAGGAGGAUGGGCCUUAGACAGACAUCACUCUUUAGAAUCCCUGCAACUUUGAGCAAGUUCGUGAAUCUCACUAAGGCUCAGUUUCCUCCAUAAAAUUAAUCAAUAUCAGGGCCUCUGCAUUGGACAACUCCAGAGGGCACCAUUGGGGUUAUACCUUGUGUUUGCCUAACCUUCAUUGCAGUGGGCAGGUGCAUGCUUUCUACAAUGUCCUAAGGUCUAAAGGGGUAGAGUUCUGUGUGUGGCAUUUUAGGCCUGGAAAGGAUGAGAGUCUACAAAACCAGAGAAAUACUGCAGCCAUUGGUAAGAAGCACACAUGACAACCUGGACUUUCCAUCAACAUUUGAAGCGGGAGCAGUCUUGUGGGAUCAAGCUCUUAACCUGUGGGGUCUGCUACUAACUCUGAGAUCCCAGACCACCACCCAUGAUCCCAGGCUGGAGGAAGCAGCAGGCUAGCGGAAUUCAGGACCAAUGAGCCAGGAAAGAGGACCCAAUGCAGAGCUCACAUCCCACCCUCCUUCCCCCAUGACAAAGCACUGGCAAACCCUGCCAAAGAAGAAGCUUGGCUGCAAAGCAGUCUGGAACUGGACCCGGGAUAGAUUCACCAGGAGCUCACCACCACAGGGAAUGCUGCACUUUGACUGGACAGAAUGCAUCCUCCAUGCCCACAGAGCAUGUGCCCAGGAUGAAUCUCACUGUAUCCCAGUUCCUCAUGCUUGGCCCCAAACCUCUUUUUCACAGUAAUAAAGAAAA
rnacentral:lncRNA from 1 species